rnacentral:misc_RNA from 1 species
UUUUUGAGCAAGAUUUUCUGCGUACACAUUCUUGCAGAUUACAAAUCAUCCAGUGUUCAUACGCAAUUAUUAAAUUUUGCAUCACAGUUCAAAAUUUUACCAUGUUUUUAUCAAUGGAAUUGGAGAAACCUGAAUGGUAGAAAAAGAGUGAAUAUCUUCUUUUUUCUUUUAAGAAAAGAAAAUUAACAUUUUGCAUGAUCAGUGAGAAUUUGAAUAGACAUCAUAAAGAUCCAUAGAUGAGGUCGAGGAAACCUUAUAUAGAUCACUGUUGGAAGUAGAGGAAGAAGCAUGCUAAGACCUGAUUGAUUUUUUUGUGUAAUUGUCUUGAUUUCCUACAAAACUGCUGCUGGUCUUUGGUCUAAGAUGAUCUUUGAUGAUUUUAAACCUCAACUCUUCACUAGAACCACUUUCUUCAGGGAUCACAUCAGGUAUGAUGCUAAUUCCUUCCAGCAUACUUGCCACUUCAGACAUGGUUGGUCUUAAAGAAGGCGUAGCAUUUGUGCAUAAGAGAGCCACUUUAAUCAUCCUUUCUGCUUCUACCUCAUUGAAUUCAGAUCCCAGCUUCUCAUCUACCAGCUCUACUAGUUUCCCAUUAUGCUGUAACUGGCAGGCCCAAUCUAGAAGACAAGCAAACUUGUUCUCUGGCCCAUGACUCAUAUUAUUCUUCCCAGUAACAAUUUCCAAUGCCACAAUGCCAAAACUGUAAACAUCUGCUUUG